CAGCAGCCGCGGUAAUACGUAGGUGGCAAGCGUUGUCCGGAAUUAUUGGGCGUAAAGCGCGCGCAGGCGGUUCCUUAAGUCUGAUGUGAAAUCUCGCGGCUCAACCGUGAGCGGUCAUUGGAAACUGGGGAACUUGAGUGCAGGAGAGAAGAGCGGAAUUCCACGUGUAGCGGUGAAAUGCGUAGAGAUGUGGAGGAACACCAGUGGCGAAGGCGGCUCUUUGGCCUGUAACUGACGCUGAGGCGCGAAAGCGUGGGGAGCAAACAGGAUUAGAUACCCUGGUAGUCCACGCCGUAAACGAUGAGUGCUAGGUGUUAGAGGGUUUCCGCCCUUUAGUGCUGCAGCUAACGCAUUAAGAACUCCGCCUGGGGAGUACGGCCGCAAGGCUGAAACUUAAAGGAAUUGGCGGG
rnacentral:rRNA from 1 species